GCUGCAGGAAUUCCCAAUACUAUCGAUACGGGUUGUGGGAGCAAGAGCCCGGAGAUGGAUUCUGAGACACGAAUCCAGGCCCUACGGGGCGCAGCAGGCGCGAAAACUUUACAAUGCAGGAAACUGUGAUAAGGGAACCCCGAGUGCCCGUAUGGACGGGCUGUUCAGGUGCUUAAAAACCACCUGGAGAAAGGGCCGGGCAAGACCGGUGCCAGCCGCCGCGGUAAUACCGGCGGCUCGAGUGGUGGCCACUAUUACUGGGCUUAAAGCGUCCGUAGCUUGGUCGUUAAGCCUCUGGGGAAAUCUUCCGGCUCAACCGGAAGGCGUCUCAGGGGAACUGGCGACCUAGGGAUCGGGAGAGGUGAGAGGUACUCUGGGGGUAGGAGUGAAAUCCUGUAAUCCUCAGGGGACCACCUGUGGCGAAGGCGUCUCACCAGAACGACUCCGACAGUGAGGGACGAAAGCUGGGGGAGCAAACCGGAUUAGAUACCCGGGUAGUCCCAGCCGUAAACAA
rnacentral:rRNA from 1 species